ACACAUGCAAGUCGAACGGGAAACCUUUUAUUGAAGCUUCGGCAGAUUUAGCUGGUUUCUAGUGGCGGACGGGUGAGUAACGCGUGGGUAACCUGCCUUAUACAGGGGGAUAACAGUCAGAAAUGGCUGCUAAUACCGCAUAAGCGCACAGAGCUGCAUGGCUCAGUGUGAAAAACUCCGGUGGUAUAAGAUGGACCCGCGUUGGAUUAGCUGGUUGGUGGGGUAACGGCCCACCAAGGCGACGAUCCAUAGCCGGCCUGAGAGGGUGAACGGCCACAUUGGGACUGAGACACGGCCCAGACUCCUACGGGAGGCAGCAGUGGGGAAUAUUGCACAAUGGGGGAAACCCUGAUGCAGCGACGCCGCGUGAAGGAAGAAGUAUCUCGGUAUGUAAACUUCUAUCAGCAGGGAAGAUAAUGACGGUACCUGACUAAGAAGCCCCGGCUAACUACGUGCCAGCAGCCGCGGUAAUACGUAGGGGGCAAGCGUUAUCCGGAUUUACCGGGUGUAAAGGGAGCGUAGACGGUGUGGCAAGUCUGAUGUGAA
rnacentral:rRNA from 1 species